ACCUUAAGAAACCUAUUCAAGUGAUAUGGCAUCUUUAUUCACUUGUAUUUUUAAAUUUCAUUUUAAAUAAUGGACUAUGGCUGAUUCACAUUGAGGUGGCCAAAUACAUCCAUGGAAAAUUACAGUUUUGUCUGAAUGUACCCCUGUCUAGAAAAUUAAUAGUGAAAGCUAUAUAAAAACACUUCUUCAGAUCAGCUGAUUUUCCAGGUAGAAGAAAUUGUUUUAUCAUGCAGGGCAAUUCAGUCAUGCAAGCUACAGCCUGAUGUCCAAAGUAAUAUUGCUCAAAAACCGAGUUUCAAAAUAUUUGUAGCAUUGAGUAUGCUGGUCUCUGUGCACACAUACACACAUUCUUUUGUGUUUCUAGACCAACAAUCCCACUAAACAGUAUUACUUUGCACCAAGUACAGAAAAUGUUCAGUACCUGUCAAUGUGUUCUUCUAGUGAUGUGUUCUUGGUGGGAUACAUUAUUCUGAUCCAUUUGCCACAAUUUGAAUAAGAAGAUGGUCUCUCACUCUCUUCCAGAGAUCUUGCUUAGCAUGAAGAAGUACUGUGUUUCUUGGAAUGUGCUACUCCAAACUGUCUUGUUCUUGAUCUACUCAAUGUUUACUCAUGACUGUAACCCUGCUGUUGUGAACUGUUCCAUAUUCUUUCAUGGAGCCCCAAGGUUUUCACUUUCACACUGGUUUAUUUCUCAAUAUAACGCAAUAAGAGGAAGAAAAAGGAAGAUAGCUGCUCCACACCAAAAAAGGCAAGAGGACAUAAUGCAUUUCUCUAGUAUCCAGUAGUAUUUGAGCAUAUUUAUAAAGGGAAAUGGCAGCAGAAGGGAGGAAACUAUUUUAAAUUAAGGUUCUAGCAGUUAAUAAUUAAUGAAGAAACCUAUUAAAUAUUUUUAUUGUAAAAUACCUAAUCAACUGGCUAAUGAUACUGAUUAUUUCCACCAUGUAAGUUACAUUGUACCAAGGCCUGAAGAAACAUGUAAACAUGCACUUGCCACAAAAUUGGUUGGCUGGUAUUUUUGUUUCUAGUCAUCCUGUAUUUUAUUUGUAUUCUACCUUCCCAUUCGUCAGGGCUGUAGCACACAAAUUUUCAGUUUUUAAAAAAAACUGAUUUACUCAUGAAUUUUAAGUUUUAUUUUAAAAACU
rnacentral:lncRNA from 1 species